GUACUGAUUUGGCAGCACACAUAUUAAAAUUGGAAGGAUAUAGAGAAGAUUAGCAUGACUCUUGUACAAGGAUGACAAACAAAUUUGUGAAGAGUUCGAUAUUGUU
ensembl:snRNA U6 U6 spliceosomal RNA